rnacentral:ribozyme from 1 species
UGCCCAGCAACUCCUACCCCUACCCCCUCGUGGUACUGGCCGGGGUACGAGUAACCUUAGGCAAGAUAGGAUAACCAACCCCAGUGGGAACUUUGGUCGUAUGCUGACAGGGAAGG